AACGAACGCUGGCGGCAUGCCUAACACAUGCAAGUCGAACGAGACCUUCGGGUCUAGUGGCGCACGGGUGCGUAACGCGUGGGAACCUGCCUUUAGGUUCGGAAUAACUCAGAGAAAUUUGAGCUAAUACCGGAUGAUGUCUUCGGACCAAAGAUUUAUCGCCUUUAGAUGGGCCCGCGUUGGAUUAGCUAGUUGGUGGGGUAAAGGCCUACCAAGGCGACGAUCCAUAGCUGGUCUGAGAGGAUGAUCAGCCACACUGGGACUGAGACACGGCCCAGACUCCUACGGGAGGCAGCAGUGGGGAAUAUUGGACAAUGGGCGAAAGCCUGAUCCAGCAAUGCCGCGUGAGUGAUGAAGGCCUGAGGGUUGUAAAGCUCUUUUACCCGGGAUGAUAAUGACAGUAUCGGGAGAAUAAGCUCCGGCUAACUCCGUG
rnacentral:rRNA from 1 species